rnacentral:rRNA from 1 species
UGGGGAAUUUUGGACAAUGGGCGCAAGCCUGAUCCAGCCAUGCCGCGUGCGGGAAGAAGGCCUUCGGGUUGUAAACCGCUUUUGUCAGGGAAGAAAUCUUCUGAGUUAAUACCUCGGGAGGAUGACGGUACCUGAAGAAUAAGCACCGGCUAACUACGUGCCAGCAGCCGCGGUAAUACGUAGGGUGCAAGCGUUAAUCGGAAUUACUGGGCGUAAAGCGUGCGCAGGCGGUUUUGUAAGACAGAGGUGAAAUCCCCGGGCUCAACCUGGGAACUGCCUUUGUGACUGCAAGGCUUGAGUGCGGCAGAGGGGGGAUGGAAUUCCGCGUGUAGCAGUGAAAUGCGUAGAUAUGCGGAGGAACACCGAUGGCGAAGGCAAUCCCCUGGGCCUGCACUGACGCUCAUGCACGAAAGCGUGGGGAGCAAACAGGAUUAGAUACCCUGGUAGUCCACGCCCUAAACGAUGUCAACUGGUUGUUGGGAAGGUUCCUUCUCAGUAACGUAGCUAACGCGUGAAGUUGACCGCCUGGGGAGUACGGCCGCAAGGUUGAAACUUAAAUGAAUUGACGGGGUCAUAGCUG